rnacentral:rRNA from 1 species
GUCCACGCGGUAAACGAUGAAUGCUAGGUGUCGGGAGCAAAGCUCUUCGGUGCCGCCGCAAACGCAUUAAGCAUUCCACCUGGGGAGUACGUUCGCAAGAAUGAAACUCAAAGGAAUUGACGGGGCCCGCACAAGCGGAGGAACAUGUGGUUUAAUUCGAUGAUACGCGAGGAACCUUACCCGGGUUUGAACGUAGUCAGACCGGCCUUGAAAGACGUCUUCUAGCAAUAGCUGAUUACGAGGUGCUGCAUGGUUGUCGU